rnacentral:rRNA from 1 species
CCUACGGGUGGCAGCAGUGGGGAAUAUUGCACAAUGGGGGAAACCCUGAUGCAGCGACGCCGCGUGAGGGAAGAAGGAUUUCGGUAUGUAAAGCUCUAUCAGCAGGGAAGAAAAUGACGGUACCUGAUUAAGAAGCCCCGGCUAACUACGUGCCAGCAGCCGCGGUAAUACGUAGGGGGCAAGCGUUAUCCGGAUUUACUGGGUGGAAAGGGAGCGUAGCCGGCACGACAAGUCUGGAGUGAAAUUCCGGGGCUUAACCCUGGAACUGCUUUGGAAACUGUGCGGCUUGAGUGCAGGAGAGGUAAGUGGAAUUCCUGGUGUAGCGGUGAAAUGCGUAGAUAUUAGGAGGAACACCAGUGGCGAAGGCGGCUUACUGGACUGUAACUGACGUUGAGGCUCGAAAGCGUGGGGAGCAAACAGGAUUAGAUACCCCAGUAGUC